AGUAUACAUGCUCUUUGAUGUGUUCAUCUUUUGAGCAAAUAAGUCUAGCAAUGCUAGUGAAGACACAAAGAAAACUUGGAAACUGUCAGGAACCGGUGCCUAUGGCAACAAGGCAGGACAUGUGUGCAUGGCAACACUACAUAGCCGGAGGUACAAUUGGAUCACAUUCUGCUAGUACAUCAAAUGUGCUGGUUAACUGUACAAUUAUUUCUUCCACAUUGGAAAACAACCUGAUUUUUUUUCCUGAAACAUACUUAUAAUACAACUAUUAGUGGUACCAAAGGUUAGUGAAAUCAUGCCUUGCAGGAAUUUUCUUUGUUCCAUAUGAUAGUGUGACAAGUAAGCCUCCAUGACUCCGGUUUCUGACCAUGCCAAUGAGCUGCAAAGAAUAGAGUUAAUUAACAACUUUACAAUAAAAUCAUCAAAGCAGCAGUCUUCAUGGGUGAAUAGUGUUACAGUGCAUAAAUAGUGUUAUAUAACGAGGUUGCAAACUUGCAAUACAAAAUAGUGGUAAACCAAUAAUAAUUAUGUAUAAGCAUGCAUGAGACCAAUAUUCGGCCUCCAAUACAUAUUAGUGGCAAAUCAAUAAAAAAAUAUGUAUAAGCAUGAGAGAAAAUUUGGGAUAGCAUCUAAGCAUACGUGUAUAGGUCACAUACCAAGAAUAGACAUAAUUAGCAUGCACAAGCGUCGGGAGAAUCCACCAGUUCUUCAAUCAACAAAAAUAAAGCCACCCCAAUCCUCCAACCAAUAUUAAAGGAAUCAAUUGAGAAAUCAGCAUAUAGAGAUGGGAGGUGCUGCCGGCGUCAGUGGUCCCGGUGGGAGAGGAGCGGCGCAUCACUGUUUCAAACGAGUCAAUGAGACAAUAAAGGUCCAGAUUUUAACAAAUUAGAAAUCAAAAUGAUAAGAUGCAAGGUUCAUGACUUACACAAAAAGAGCUCUUUUGGGAUUGUAAGAUGCAUCAGCUCGAAUUAGGAACUAUCAUCCUCACCAUUUCCAAUAAAAAUGAAAUGAUAGGAGAACCAGUAAUUCACAUUUGCUUCACCAUGAAACCUUGAGCAUUCUGCAGUUGUUUUGACUGCACGUAAUUUGGCAAUUGAAUAGGAAAAUGGGUUCAAAGACGACACAAGCUACGUAGGUAAAGGGCAGAAAAGUCACACUGGGUAUCUUCAAUUACAAAUGGAAAUAAUUUCACUGAAAUAA
rnacentral:lncRNA from 1 species